rnacentral:lncRNA from 10 species
CCUGCUUCUGGAGGAGGGAAGCAGAGGGCUGUUUUGCCUCCUCUGGGCCAGGGAUGCAUGGAAUGGCAGAGGUGGGGGCUCCCAGCUAUGGUGACUGGGAGGGCAGGUCGGGGUCCCUGGAAGCAGAUCCUGAGACAAAGUCCCCUGUGCAAGAGAUUUAUUUCAAAGGUGUGCCCAGCAUUCCAUUGUGUAAGGAUAUCGGAGGAUGCAAGUCCCCAAGACCUCCCCGACACUGCUGGUGGAGUGCAA